GUGAGGAAUUUUCCGCAAUGGGCGAAAGCCUGACGGAGCAAUGCCGCGUGAAGGAUGAAUGCCUAUGGGUUGUAAACUUCUUUUCUCAGAAAAGAAUUAUGACGGUAUCUGAGGAAUAAGCAUCGGCUAACUCUGUGCCAGCAGCCGCGGUAAGACAGAGGAUGCAAGCGUUAUCCGGAAUGAUUGGGCGUAAAGCGUCUGUAGGUUGUUUAAAAAGUAUUCUGUCAAAGAUUAGGGCUUAACCCUAGAUAGGCAGAAUAAACUUUUAAGCUAGAGUUUGGUAGAGGCAGAGGGAAUUCCCGGUGGAGCGGUGAAAUGCGUAGAUAUCGGGAGGAACACCAAAGGCGAAGGCACUCUGCUGGGCCAAUACUAACACUGAGAGACGAAAGCGAGGGGAGCAAAUGGGAUUAGAAACCCUAGUAGUCC
rnacentral:rRNA from 1 species